AUUUUUAUAAUCAUAACAGUUCAAUCAGACUUUAAGUUCAUAAAAUUUAAGUAUAAUCAGACUUAUAAGUAAAGCAAAAUUACAAUAAAACUUUCAUUAUUUUAUAUUUAUAUACAAAAAAAAAAAAAACCUAUUUUUCACAUAGGUAGGAACUUAGAAAAUAAAUUAACAGACCUUCAUAUCUUACAUAAAUACACGGAUCCGGACAUUUCGGCGUGGCCAUCUCGGCGUGGCCAUAUCGGCGUGGCCAUCUCGGCGUGGCCAUCUCGGCGUAGUGCCAUUUUGGCGUGUGACCAUUUCGGCGUAGUCUCUUUAAAUUACUUCAUGAAAUUAUUUUUAAGAAAUGCGUUUAGAUAAUAAUUUUAGCAUUAAUUAUAUUGUAUCUAUAUCAUUUAUCAGUUUAUCUCACUGUAAUCGGCUACCGUAUCGAUAGACGAUUAUUGAGUAAUAAUAUAAGAAAUAAGAUAGUCAACUAAUCAGUAGUAGUUAUAGUAGUCAAUAGUCAUCAUGGCACAAGUAAUGGAAAGAAUUCAUACAACAGUUGACACUUUGGAGGUUUUAAAACAAAUAAAUGAACAUUCGACACAUGAUUCGGAAGCGGUUAAUAUUUAAGCUAAUUCUGCAGUCACGAAGAUGAAAAAACGAGCACGUGAGACAAUGGAGCCUACAUCAAAUAUUAUUAAUGAAUGUGUUAGUGGAUUAUCACAAGCAGGAAAGGGAGCUUUGACGGCUGACAGAGCUUUAAAAAAACAAAUAAGACGCAUACGGCGAGAAAUUCAAGCAGCACCUGAUGCUCCAAAAGAUUUGACUACACUUAUAAUACCAGAAAAUUACCAGUUCAUACAAAAAUUCAAAAAUUCUACCAGGAUGGU